CCGAUUUGUGACAGUUAAGGGGCGGGGCGGGGGGGGGGGGGGGGGCGGGGAGACACCAGGAACGCAAGACAAGGAGGAGAGGAAGGUCCAUUAUUUCUGUUUAGAAAGUGAAAAAGGGCUAUUGUACUUGUAUACUCUGCACAGUCCACAAGGUCCCACAAAAGCCCCCUGGCUAGGAAGGCUCAUGUCCAAAAACAGCUGCGUAAAAGAGGCCACUCCUAAUCCUACCAGCUCUGACCUUGGGCCCCUCCGACUCUCCAUCUCCUUGUCUGUGACAUGAAGGGGAAGAGUUCUAAUUCAUAUUCUAAGGAAUUGGUUGAGGAAAAGCGCUUUAUACAUUUUAAGAUACUAUGCAUACAUUAAUCAGUACUUUCUACUGCUUUUUGAUUCUGAAGAGUUGUAAUUAAUGACUAACUGCUGACAAAUCAAUCAGAACCCCAAGAGAAAGCGACCCCAGCCCCUAGUAGCCAGUAAUUACUAUCUCUUUGCUUUCUUCUUUUCCUGUUUUCCUCAACUCAAUGACAAGGAGCUGAAAAAGACAGUACAAGUGUUUUACAAGCACUGUUGUAUAUAGUGGAGAUUUAUGGUCCAUGCUCUUAAAGAAUGGGUAAGCAAAACCCAUCAUUAAGUUACUUUUUAUUUGUGUGUAGGUAGGUGAUUUUUACUCUCAGGCUGGGACUCAAUUUUUUAAAAAAAGAAGUUUCCAUGCUCACCACAGGAAGCCAUCGUAAACUUGUGAGCUGGCGUGCUCAACACCACCCAGGGACUUGCACUGAACUGGCAGCUGGUGAAAAGGCAGGCCCUCCCACCACAGCCCUGACUGCUGGGAGCCUAGCCACCCCAACCUCUGCAUGGAUCUAAACCUUCUCAGUUUGGGUCCCUUAGUUAAAACUGGGUUCUUCUGUCUCAAAAAUCCCAUGGCCUAUAGGGUUUCUCCUAUGACAUGCCUUCUAUUCUAUGUAAAAUUACAAUUAUUUGGGUCUUUUCUUUCCUACUGGGCUGUAAAUAAUUUUCAAAUUUUUAUUUUAUACUGGAGUUUAGUUGAUUAACAAUGUUGUCUCAGUUUCAGGUGGCAGUGAGACAUAUACAUGUAUCUCCCUGGGUCGGGAAGAUUCCCUGGAGAAGGGCAUGACAACCCACUCCAGUAUUCUUGCCUCGAGAAUCCAAUGGACAGAAAGCCUGGAGGGCUACACAGUCUGGAGGGUCGCAAAGAGUCAGACAUGACUGAGCAACUAACACUUUCACUUUUUACAUACAUGUAUCUAUUCAUUCUCAGAUUCUUCUCUCAUUUAGGUUAUUACAGAAUAUCGAGCAACUAAACAUCCUUGUGCUAUAUACAGUAGGUCCUUGUUGGUUAUCUAUUUCAACUGCAGCAGUGUGAACGUAUCAAUCCCAAACUUCCUAACUACCCCUCUCCCACAUCCUUCCCUGCUGGUAAUGAGGGCUGUACCCUUCUGACACCGGUCCUCUGGCUGUUAACUCAUCUGUGCCACCACAGGUGAGUUAGGGAGCAGAGCUGAGCCUCAAAGGAAGGUUUUCAGAGACAAUGAAGGAUAGUGGAGAGGGAGAAAGUAGCAAAGCCAGACUCUUCUCUUUGCUGAGUCUUGGAAGUUCUGGGAUCUGGCAGCAUGAUUUCUAACUUGGUACUUUCUAUCCUGUGUUGGGACCGAAGAGGAAGAUGGAGAGUUUGACCCUGAAAACACUCUCUGAACAGUUCUGGCUGGCUUCGCUGGCUGGGCCUUUCAUUUAGUCAUCUGAGGGGGGCGGGACUGAGACCUGCUGUGACCUUUAGGGUUGGAAGGACCUUCAAAGACAAAGAACAGUGUGGAGCCUACAAGAAGGAUGGCAUCAGAGCGAGAGGGAUGACGGCCAAAGAAUUCUGAGGCCCUGGCUCUAGGCUGGAAGUAAGCUGGAGUCAUCAGGUCUGGAGAGAAACAAGAAGCCAGAUAAAGAGAGACUGUGUCCUGUCUGGCCUGGGUGGUUUGCUGCAGCAGUUUAUAAUAAUUAUAGCUCACACUGAUUGAGCACUCACUCUGGGCCAGGCACCACAAUCAUGAUCUCACUGAAGUUGCCUGGCAUCCCAGGUACUGCUCUUUUCUGCUGUUACGAAGGGGGAAACUGAGGCACAGAGUGGUUAAGCAACUUGCUGUUAAGUCACAGACCUGGUAAGUGACUUAAAAGAGUGUGGCUGCAGGUAUUUUUACUUGACAGCCUGCUCAUGGACACUGUCCUGGUUCUUGUUUGCCACCCCCCGCCCCACGCUCCCCAUGUGUCCCCCAGAAGCUGAGCCCUGUACACUCUGGGGCGCCCAGCAGGAUUCAUUGGUGGGAGGGUAUAGUAGGAGGCUGGAGGGGGUGAUUGGGGGAAACAGGAGAGGCCUGAACAUUUCUCCCCCUACCCAGGGCUCCGCCUUUCACUGGUAGUUGCUGGGUGUCCCAACACCCCUGUUUGCUGCUGUGAGAAGUCAUUCACCGAAGACUCAUUUCCUCUUCUGUAGGAAGAAGGGUUCCUUCUUCCUACAGGAAAGCCAACUGCACCACGACCCGCAAUGGCUCCCACUUGCAUCACACAGAUAAGAACUGCAGACAUGGGAAGAGUUCGCUCUGUAUAAAUAAAGCAAGUCCCUCUCUGAAUAUCAGGCAGAACAGCUGGCUACAGUGCAUGGUACUGAUCUUACUUGGAUUGCGAGUCCAACAAACCAACUGUGAAAAAAUUUAUCAUAAGAUAACUGGGGUUGAAUACAAACUGGGCAUUCAGUGAUAAUAAAUUUUUGCUGAUUUUUUUUAGGUGUGGUCUUGGCAGCGUGUUGAUGUUUAGAAGGGUCCUUUAGGGAUAUACCCUAAAAUAUUUAUAGAAGAUUUUCUGAGUUGAUAAAGGUAGUGGGAAGAACAGGAAAGGAACAAAUCCAGGCUUUUUUUUCCUCUUGACUAAGUCCCUGCAAAGAGCUGGCACAAGAAUCACAAGAAAUGAUGUCUGGAAUUUGUUUCAAACUAAUGGGGGGAGGGACAAGGGGAGUGACAGAUGAGCCAAGACUGGCCCUGCACUGGUGAUUGUUAAGCUGGUGACAGGGAAGAGGGAAGGAACUCCAUUAUCCAAUCUCCAUUCUCUCCAUUUGCUAUUAUGUGCUGGAAACUGCUCACCCUAACAUGUGCUACAGACUAAACUCAUUUCUGAAGGCUCCUAAAGGAAGCAGCUAAAAAAAUUGGCAAGCAUCCUCCACAAGGCUGAAACUAAGCCAUUCAAUGUGACUGCCCACCAGGAGAAGCCGGGUAUGAAAACAACCAGUGUUUCCAAACAGGAGACUCAACACCUGGGACACAAGGGCAUGAACUCCAACCUGCAGGCUUUGAUUUUAAAAGGAGCUGCUUCUCCCACAAGUAAUCCCCAGUGGAAAAUUUCAAACACAUAAAAUAAACAGAAAAUAAUAUAGCAAGCCCUCCAUGAACCCAUCAUCCAGUUUCAAAAAUUAUCAACAAUUUCCUGCCAUUCUUUCUUGGUUUUGUUUUUUGGCUGCGCCCUGAGGUAUGGGAUCUUAAUCCCCAACCAGGGAUUGAGACCAGGAAGAGACUGGGGAUCGAACCCAAGCCCCCUGCAUUGGAAGCGCAGUCUUAACCACUGGGCCACCAGUGGUUAGUCCAACAACAGCUCUUCUUUCAGAUGAGCCUUAAGGGUUCUGCCUCCUCAACAAGCCCAAGGCCUCCUGCAAGACCUCACAGUCAUCUGCCAUCUCUUCCAGAUGUCAGGGGCUUCCUGGGAGUUUGACAUUUCCCAGCUCUGGAGCACUGAGAGCAAAUCACUUGCUGGAUAUCUAUUACUAUGCCAAAACUGGCGCUAGCCCUUUAACAUACAGUAUGAUUUAAUGCUCAAAGAACUUUCCCAGAAAGAAGUUAAUAUUCACCUUUUACCAUUUGGACACCAAGACUCAUGGAGUUUGCCCAGGAGGAGAUGGAGCUGGGAUGGGGUGAUGACUGGUUUUACAUGUCAGUGUGGCCAGGCGACAGGACCCAGAAUGCCAUCAGAUGCUAACCUAGUGUUGCUGUGAAGGUACUGAGGUACUGUGCAGAGGUACUGUGCAGAUGUGGGUAACAGUGGCACCCAACCAGGUGACUGAGUAAGACAGAGUGUCUUUGAUAAUCCAAGUGGGCCUCAUCCAAUCAACUGAAAGUCUUUCAGGGCAAAAUGGAACAAAACUAAGGUCUCCCUGGGGAAGAAAUUUUGCCUCAAACCUGCAUCAGGAGACAUGGGUUUGAUCCCUUGGUUGGGAAGAUCGUCUGGAGGAGGACAUGGUAACCGACUCGAGUAUUCUUGCCUGGGAGAUCCCAUAGACAGAGGAGCCUGGUGGGUUACAGUCCAUGGGGUCACAAAGAGUUGGUCACGACUGAAGCUACUUAGCAUACACGCAUACACACACACACACACACAUUCUGACUCUGUUCCCUGGAGAACCCUGGCUAAGCCAGGGAACCCAGUUGCACCCAAUCGCAAAGGGCCAUGCCUUCCUUGCCUCUACAACACUGACCAUGAUCUGCACCAGCUGCAACUCAACCAAAAACCACCCAUGUGUGUGCCGGAGCCUCAGCCUGCUUCAGCUGCCCAGAAGUGUAUUUGAAUAUUACUAUACACCUUUAAUUAGAUUUUGAGAAUAAAUUAUUCAGAUUGAAAGGCUACCACAAAUGUGAGGAACUUGCUUUUAUGUUUCAAUUUUUUAGUGGGUGGCGCGGGCAGGGGUGGCAUAGUCUACCUCAGAA